UCUCUCCAAAUACAGUUUGUGUUGACCAGUGAAUUCUUGUUGGUUUUAUAUUUGGAAGAUACUUCAGAGUUUGAUCGUAAUAGCACAGUUCCAGGGCCAGCUAUGAGGUACCGGAUCCUUCCUGGGGAUCUUUUGCAGCCCUACCUUCCCAACAAGACAGAACCUGUGGAAGAGCUGCACAGGAACCUAGGUCCCUGCACUCUGCUGAUCCCUGCUCCAGUGCCGACAGGCCGCGCUCCUCGCACUGCGCCCUGCUCACCUCYGCGGCAUCUGUAGCACCAGAGGAGAGAGCGAUCUUGCUGCUGCCUCACAGAUGAGCCCAUGAACACUGCCUCGAGCCUCCACCCUGACUACCAGCUUCCUCCU
rnacentral:lncRNA from 1 species